CCUACGGGAGGCUGCAGUGGGGAAUAUUGGGCAAUGGGCGCAAGCCUGACCCAGCAACGCCGCGUGAAGGAAGAAGGCUUUCGGGUUGUAAACUUCUUUUCUGAGGGACGAAGAAAGUGACGGUACCUCAGGAAUAAGCCACGGCUAACUACGUGCCAGCAGCCGCGGUAAUACGUAGGUGGCAAGCGUUAUCCGGAUUUAUUGGGUGUAAAGGGCGUGUAGGCGGGAAAGCAAGUCAGAAGUGAAAACUCAGGGCUCAACCAUGGGACUGCAUUUGAAACUGUUCUUCUUGAGUGCUGGAGAGGUAAGCGGAAUUCCGGGUGUAGCGGUGAAAUGCGUAGAUAUAAGGAGGAACACCAGUGGCGAAGGCGGAUUACUGGACAGUAACUGACGUUGAGGCGCGAAAGCGUGGGGAGCAAACAGGAUUAGAUACCCGGGUAGUC
rnacentral:rRNA from 1 species